rnacentral:rRNA from 1 species
UACGAAGGGGCUAGCGUUGUUCGGAAUUACUGGGCGUAAAGCGCAUGUAGGCGGAUAUUUAAGUCAGGGGUGAAAUCCCAGAGCUCAACUCUGGAACUGCCUUUGAUACUGGGUAUCUCGAGUAUGGAAGAGGUGAGUGGAACUCCGAGUGUAGAGGUGAAAUUCGUAAGAUAUUCGGAAGAACACCAGUGGCGAAGGCGGCUCACUGGUCCGGUACUGACGCUGAGGUGCGAAAGCGUGGGGGAGCGAACAGGAUAGACUACC